UACGGAGGGUGCAAGCGUUAUCCGGAUUUACUGGGUUUAAAGGGUGUGUAGGCGGGCUAUUAAGUCAGAGGUGAAAUCCCCGAGCUUAACUUGGGAACUGCCUUUGAUACUAUUAGUCUUGAAUGUCGUAAAGGUAGGCGGAAUACAUCAUGUAGCGGUGAAAUGCUUAGAUAUGAUGUGGAACACCGAUAGCGAAGGCAGCUUGCUGUGCGACGAUUGACGCUGAGGCACGAAAGCGUGGGUAGCGAACAGG
rnacentral:rRNA from 1 species